rnacentral:rRNA from 1 species
AACGUAGGACGCAAGCGUUAUCCGGAGUUACUGGGCGUAAAGCGCGUGUAGGCGGUCUGCCAAGUCCGGCGUGAAAGCGCCCGGCUCAACCGGGCGAGGUCGUUGGAGACUGGCGGGCUGGAGGGCGGCAAAGGAGCAGGGAAUUCCGGGUGUAGUGGUGAAAUGCGCAGAGAUCCGGAGGAACACCAGUGGCGAAGGCGCUGCUCUGGGCCGCGACUGACGCUGAGGCGCGAAAGCAUGGGGAGCGAACGGG